rnacentral:rRNA from 1 species
CUCGUAGGCGGUUUAGUAAGUCAAUCGUGAAAUGUCGGGGCUCAACCCCGAGACUGCGGUCGAAACUGCUAUGACUAGGGUCCGGUAGAGGUGAGUGGAAUUCUCGGUGUAGCGGUGAAAUGCGCAGAUAUCGAGAGGAACACCAGUAGCGAAGGCGGCUCACUGGGCCGGUACCGACGCUGAGGAGCGAAAGCGUGGGGAGCAAACAGGAUUAGAUACCCUGGUAGUCC